UAUCAGGCUUGUUACAAGGUUGUUUCAACAAGUCCGAUACAGUCAUGAUAUAGCAGUAUUAAUUAAUUUAUAAACUUUACAAGCAACAAAACGAUUGAAGGUACAGGUAUUGUUACAACCUUGUGUCGUCAACCUUGUAACAUUCUUGUUAUAUCAUGGCUGUAUCAGACUUGUUACAACAACCUUGUGACGAGUCUGAUA
rnacentral:miRNA from 1 species